GUGACCUAAUCACAUCCCCCUGGGCCCCUGCUUUUAAAGGUUCCACACCACCUUCCAACGCAUGAACCCGUGGGGGACACAUUCACGCCAUGUACGAGCCAUAGAGGCAGCAAUUUAAGACUGGGGUUCCCUAAAAAUCCCACGACCUCGUGUUCCUGAAAGGGUGCCUGGCUCAUCCCUGAAAGGCUCAUCUUCAUCCCCCAGCAGAGUCAACCGAUGCUAUGAGCACGAUUGCAAGUUGCUCCCCUAUCCUCGGCGUCUAAUGCGCAGUCGGCGGUUCACAGACCGCCUGAGUCGGGACUUCAGACGAGCACACGAAGCUGGCCGCAGUGUCUGCAGCCUCUGCUGCCAUAGCAUGAAUGGCUGGAAGCAGCAACGGGCUGGAAUGACCUGGAAGCUUUUCCAUGUCUGGCAUCCGGGAACUGGAAGCUGGGAUCAGUUAGGACUGUCGGCCGGUGUGCCUUACACGAGGCCUCUCCUUGUGUCCUAGAUCUCCUCAUAGCAGGGGUGGCCUCAAGAGAGUCAGGACGCUUGAACAUGGCUGCUCAUGGCAGACAUGGCGGCUCGGGGCUCCAAGAGUACAAAACCCCACAGAUAAGGUGGACAAACUAAUGCCUUUCAAUGCCUGCACUUUGAAAGUCAAGAGAGCGUGGUCUCUUCUGCUUGUCUCUUUACCAUCCUGCUGCCCAUCUCUCUUGUGACCUAUGACUAUACUGUAAGAAUCGAGGCUGACAAAAAAGGAAGUACAUGGCUCCCUGUGUGUCAGGGCUAUGAAACUGCAGAGCAUAGGAACUGUGAGGACUCCAGAGAUGGCUCAGUGGGAAAUCCAAGGACCAAGGUAUACCCCAAGUAGCUGCCCUUUUUCUGC